rnacentral:rRNA from 1 species
AGUGAACGCUGGCGGUAGGCCUAACACAUGCAAGUCGAACGGCAGCACAGUAAGAGCUUGCUCUUACGGGUGGCGAGUGGCGGACGGGUGAGGAAUACAUCGGAAUCUACUUUUUCGUGGGGGAUAACGUAGGGAAACUUACGCUAAUACCGCAUACGACCUACGGGUGAAAGCAGGGGAUCUUCGGACCUUGCGCGAUUGAAUGAGCCGAUGUCGGAUUAGCUAGUUGGCGGGGUAAAGGCCCACCGAGGCGACGAUCCGUAGCUGGUCUGAGAGGAUGAUCAGCCACACUGGAAGUGAGACACGCUCCAGACCCUUGCGGGAGGCAGCAUUGGGGAAUAGUGGACAGUGGGCCCAAGCUGACUCCACCCAUCCCGCGGGGGUAAAAAAGGCUUUCGGGUUUAAACCCCUUUUUGUGGGAAAAAAAAAGCACGAGGUGACUACCCCCGUGUUCUGCGGUACCCAAAAAAAAAGCCACGGCCAACCUUGGUC